AGAGACCGAUAGCGCACAAGUAGAGUGAUCGAAAGAUGAAAAGCACUUUGGAAAGAGGGUUAAAGAGCACGUGAAAUUGCUGAAAGGGAAGCGCCCGCGACCAGACGUGGGCCCGGCAGACCACCCGCCGCUCGUCGGCGGGGCACUCCGCCGGGCCCAGGCCAGCAUCAGCCCGGCGCGGGGGACAAAGGCGGCGGGAACGUGGCUCCCCCAGGGGAGUGUUAUAGCCCGCCGCGCAACGCCCCGCGGCCGGGCUGAGGCACGCGCACCGCACGGAUGCUGGCGUAAUGGUCGCCGGCGACCCGUCUUGAAACACGGACCAAGGAGUCGUCCUCGCAUGCGAGUGUUGGGGUGGCAAACCCCCGCGCGGAAUGAAAGUGAACGCAGGUGGGAGCCCCCUCCCGGGGCGCACCACCGACCGAUCCUGACGUCCUCGGAUGGAUUUGAGUAGGAGCAUGCGGGGCCGGACCCGAAAGAAGGUGAACUAUGCCUGCGUAGGGUGAAGCCAGAGGAAACUCUGGUGGAGGCUCGCAGCGGUUCUGACGUGCGAAUCGAUCGUCAAACGUGGGCAUGGGGGCGAAAGACUAAUCGAACCUUCUAGUAGCUGGUUUCCGCCGAAGUUUCCCUCAGGAUAGCAGUGUCGAGGCUCAGUUUUAUGAGGUAAAGCGAAUGAUUAGGGACUCGGGGGCGCCGCACUGCCUCCAUCCAUUCUCAAACUUUAAAUAUGUAAGAAGCCCUUGUUGCUCAGCUGAACGCGGGCGCUCGAAUGGACGACACUAGUGGGCCAUUUUUGGUAAGCAGAACUGGCGAUGCGGGAUGAACCGAACGCGGGGUUAAGGUGCCGGAGUGGACGCUCAUCAGACACCACAAAAGGUGUUGGUACAUCCUGACAGCAGGACGGUGGCCAUGGAAGUCGGAACCCGCCAAGGACUGUGUAACAACUCACCUGCCGAAUGUACUAGCCCUGAAAAUGGAUGGCGCUCAAGCGUCCCACCCAC
rnacentral:rRNA from 1 species